rnacentral:rRNA from 1 species
GGGAGGGAGGGGAGUCUUCUUAGUGCCUCUCGACGACCUCCCCUUUCGGCGAUCCAGAGUAUCCAUUGGAGGGCAAGUCUGGUGCCAGCAGCCGCGGUAAUUCCAGCUCCAAUAGCGUAUAUUAAAAUUGUUGCAGUUAAAAAGCUCGUAGUUGAAUUUCUGCUACAUUGCCUAUUCUCCUUUACGAGUUUGGGUCUUUUGUGGCUUAUCUGGGUUCGCUUGCGUUCCCG